rnacentral:rRNA from 1 species
AACGAACGCUGGCGGCAUGCCUAACACAUGCAAGUCGAACGAGACCGUCGGGUCUAGUGGCGCACGGGUGCGUAACGCGGGGGAACCUGCCCUUAGGUUCGGAAUAACUCACCGAAAGGGGUGCUAAUACCGGAUAAUGUCUUCGGACCAAAGAUUUAUCGCCUUUGGAUGGGCCCGCGUUGGAUUAGCUAGUUGGUAGGGUAAAAGCCUACCAAGGCGACGAUCCAUAGCUGGGCUGAGAGGAUGAUCCGCCACGCUGGGACUGAGACACGGCCCAGAAUCCUACGCGAGGCAGCAGUAGGGAAUAUUGGACAAUGGGCGAAAGCCUGAUCCAGCAAUGCGGCGUGAGUGAUGAAGGCCUUAGGGUUGUAAAGCUCUUUGACCCGGGAUGAUAAUGACAGUACCGGGAGAAUAAGCUCCGGCUAACUCCGUG